rnacentral:rRNA from 1 species
GACGAAUGCUGGCGGCGUGCUUAACACAUGCAAGUCGAACGGUAAGGCCCUUCGGGGUACACGAGUGGCGAACGGGUGAGUAACACGUGGGUGAUCUGCCCUGCACUUCGGGAUAAGCCUGGGAAACUGGGUCUAAUACCGGAUAGGACCACUGCCUGCAUGGGUGGUGGUGGAAAGCUUUUGCGGUGUGGGAUGGGCCCGGGGCCUAUCAGCUUGUUGGUGGGGUGAUGGCCUACCAAGGCGACGACGGGUAGCCGGCCUGAGAGGGUGACCGGCCACACUGGGACUGAGAUACGGCCCAGACUCCUACGGGAGGCAGCAGUGGGGAAUAUUGCACAAUGGGCGCAAGCCUGAUGCAGCGACGCCGCGUGAGGGAUGACGGCCUUCGGGUUGUAAACCUCUUUCAGCACCGACGAAGCGCAAGUGACGGUAGGUGCAGAAGAAGGACCGGCCAACUACGUGCCAGCCGCCGCAGUAA